UGUUCUUUGUGGGUGACGACUCAGGAGGUGGGGCCACCCUGAUGUCACCACUCUAUAGCCCAUCUCAGGGUAUUUAAACUGGCCUAGAAGGCUCACGAGUUGUGAAGCAUCCACUUACAGGUGUUUUUCUCUUCAUUUCUUGGACCUGCUGCAGUUGAAGCUUGCAGGUAGCCUUAAGCUGAUAUCACAUUACGUGACUUUUAUUCAUGGGGUAUGUCAGAUUUGCUGACUGCAGUUUCUGAUCUCAUUGCCAGACCCAUUUCAAUUUAUUUGAGUAAAAAUCUCUGCCUAUGUAACAUUUACCAGAACAAGAUGCAGAGGACAGAGCGGAGCAGCC